ensembl:lncRNA
AUGGAAUCCCAAGCUCUGCAGAUGUCUCGCAGCCUGGCCCUCAACCUUCAAGGUACCUAUGAGAACCUCCUGGCUAACCUCCAAGACCUCCCUGCUCAUCUCCAGAAGAAGCUGUACCAGACCUGCCAGCGCAUGGGCGAACUCGGCUCCGAUUUCAACUCGGCCCAGAGUUUUGGGGACUUGUCCCGCAACGUCUUGAAAAAGAGCUUUGAGGUGAUGGCCGAAGCCCAGGGCUCCUUAGACGAGCUGAUGGAGUAUGCGCUGCAAAGCCCCCAAGCGCUCCUCUGGUUGAAGGACCGCCUUCCUGUUCUGGAAGCCAGAACAGGAGAAGUUCAGGCGUUAUGCGAGGACAGCCUACUUCCGAACGAAGGGGAAGAGUUCCCACCCAACAUGGAGAUGCGGAACAUCCUACAAAUCCAGCAGACCUAUGACCCCACGGGCUGCGAAGAUGACACCCUUUCGAGUAAAGAGGAGGUCGCUCCACCUUCCCAUUCACAGGACUUGGAGGACAUCUUGGAAACACUGCAUGCCUAUGACCCCAAAGGCUGCGAGGAUGACAUUCCUCCCAAGAAGGAGAACGAGGAGGUCCAGCCUUCCAGCAAAGUGGAGUGGAACAUACUGGAAACCCUACAGGGCUACAUCCCUAGACUCCCUGACAAAGGAGACGUUCCCAGCGACGAGAAGGAGGAAACCCCACCUUCUACAAAUGAGGUGGAGGAGGAGAGGGAGACGGACAUCUUGAAGCUACAACAGGCCCAUGAUCCUAAAUGUUAUGAGGAUGGAGCACCUUCUGGAGAGGAGGUGCAGGUGGCCACAUCUCCUAGCCAAACGGAGUGGAAGGACAUAAUAGAAAUCCAACAGGACUACGACCCAAAAGGCUGUGUGGAAGCACCCCGGCUGAGCACGUCGGAGGAGGCAUCUUCCGGCCAACUGGGUGACUGGAAUAUCUUGACGACGUUGCAGUCGUUGCAGGCGUACGUCCCCAAAAUUAGCUCCGAGAAAGCACCACCGGCCGAGGAGAAGAAUGAGGUGGUGGAAGAGAAGGAAGUGGAGGAGGAGGAGGAGGAUCUGGAAAGGGACAUCCUGAAAACUCAGAAAGCCCACGAUCCUAAAUGUUAUGAGGAUGGAAUGCCUUCUGGGGAGGAGGUGGAGGUGGCCACAUCUCCAAGCCAAACGGAGUGGAAGGACAUAAUAGAAAUCCAACAGGACUACGACCCAAAAGGCUGUGUGGAAGCACCCCGGCUGAGCACGUCGGAGGCGGCAUCUUCCGGCCAAUUGGGUGACUGGAAUAUCUUGACGACAUUGCAGUCGUUGCAGGCGUACGUCCCCAAAAUUAGCUCCGAGAAAGCACCACCAGCUGAGGAGAAGAAUGAGGUGCUGGAACAGAAGGAAGAGGGGAAGGAAGAGAAGGAAGAGGAUCUGGAAAGGGACAUCCUGAAAACUCAGAAAGCCCAUGAUCCUAAAUGUUAUGAGGAUGGAAUGCCUUCUGGGGAGGAGGUGGAGGUGGCCACAUCUCCUAGCCAAACGGAGUGGAAGGACAUAAUAGAAAUCCAACAGGACUAUGACCCAAAAGGCUGUGUGGAAGCACCCCGGGUGAGCACGUCAGAGGUGGCAUCUUCCGGCCAACUGGGUGACUGGAAUAUCUUGACGACACUGCAGUCGUUGCAGGCAUACGUCCCCAAAAUUUGCCCCGAGAAAGCACCACCGGCCGAGGGGAAGAAAGAGAUGGUGGAAGAAAAGGAAGUGGAGAAGGAGGAGGAUCUGGAAAGGGACAUCUUGGAAACUCAGAAAGCCCACGAUUCUAAAGGUUGCAAGGAGGAAGUCGCGGUCCAAACUUCCAGUAGAUGGGAGUCAACAAACAUCUUGCAAAUGCAAGCCAUGUACGAACCACGCGAUUGCAAGGAAGGAGCGCCGCUCAGCGAAGAGGUGGUGGUUCCAUCUUCUGGCAAACAAGACUCGGAGGACAUCCUUAAGAUCCUGCAAGCCUACGACCCCAGGGCCUGCGACGAAGAGCCUCCUCCCAGGAAGGAAGGCGAGACUCCGCCGAGCAAUCAAGAGGAGUGGAAUGUCCUGAAGAUGCUUCAGGCCUACGUCCCGAAAAGCUGUCCCUUCGAAGUGCCUUCCUUCAAGGAGAAGACACCUGAAGUGGAGCCGUCCAAAAAGCAAGUGGUGAAGGAAAAGAGCAUCUUGAAGAACCACCUCGCCAACAACUCCGGCGUUUCCAGCGAGAGGAUAGAGAUGGGGAACAUCUUGAAAAUGGCGAUGUACAGCCCCAAAGACUGCGAGGAAGGAGCCCCUUCCCGGAAGGAAGGCGAGGAAGCGGUGCGCCCGUCGGGCAAAGCCAAAACGGAAGACAUCUUGAAAAUCCAGCGGGCGUACGACCCAAUGGGCUGCGAGGACGAAGCGCCGUCCUGGAAGGAGAGGAGGGAGUCCCAGACUUCCGGGAAACAGGAGGAGUGGAACAUCAUGAAAUUCUUCCAGUCCUAUAUCCCCAAAAGCCGCAGCGAGGAACCCUCCGCCGCCACCAUCGUCGAGGUCAAAGCGGAGGGAGCAGCAGCCUCCCCAACGAGCAAACAAGACGUGAAGCCGGUACCUCCCGCUCCCAGCAAACGGGAGGUCAAGGAGGCCAUGACCCCGGCCAGGAAGUGGGACAUCCAAGAGUGGGACAUCCUGAAGAUCCAGGAGGCCUAUGACCCCCAAGGCUGCAAGGAGGACGACAGAUGA